AAUCCGGUGGCUUGAAUGGUUAGAGCGUCCGUCUCAGACAAGGGAGUUGGCGGGUUCGAUUCUCGGCCGAGUCA